rnacentral:misc_RNA from 1 species
CUGAUUUGAGGUCAAACUUAAAGAGUACUGUUUGCCACAGUCGACAGUUCAAUGUUCUAAUGCCAGUACGCUCUUCCAAGAUACCGAGUCUGCCGGAGUUGGUAAAACCUAAUACGACAUGCUCAAGCAUCCUGUUUAAUAGUAAAGAAAUCAUACCAUUACACAAAAACUAUAAGCUGCAACAACCGCUACGGCCAACAAUUUCAAGUUAACUCAAUGCAAGACUGAGUGUCACUCACAACCAAAUACAAGUAUUUGAGAAGGAAAUGACGCUCAAACAGGCAUGCCCCCUGGAAUACCAAGGGGUGCAAUGUGCGUUCAAAGAUUCGAUGAUUCACGGAAUUCUGCAAUUCACAUUACGUAUCGCAUUUCGCUGCGUUCUUCAUCGAUGCGAGAACCAAGAGAUCCGUUGUUGAAAGUUUUGAAUAUUUUGGUUACUGCAAUAAAGCAGAUUUUGAAAUGACAAAUUAAAAUAAUAAAAAAUAAUUGUUUGUGUUUUGUUUUGGCGGUAUUGCUACCUCCGAUACUGUAGAAAUAAAACUCCAGUGUGUGUAAAGAAUUAUCGGCGUAACGAAAAAGAACAACCUCGCCGCGCACUUAAGCGCAGGCUCGAUCACUCCUCCUCUACCAAUUAUUCAUCAUUUUCUUUAAUGAUCCUUCCGCAGGU